GUUACAAUGUAUGGUUUUCAUAUUUCGCAGUUACAAUUUGUGAUACAGAUCAACUUCCCUCAGGUAGUUCACUAUGAGAUGAGCGCUCACGUGGGAGAACAGAUCUUUUAGGUUUGUUGCAUCAUA